ACCCCCUUUCGUUUUGCUAGACUGACGUCCCAUCAUGGCUGAUAAAGAUUCAAAUGGUAAUGGCAAAGAUUUUAGAAACCCAGAAGCACUUUUGACUUGUAUCAAUCGGUUUACAUAGCUAAAAUAACUUUCUUUUCAGCUACCUGAAUUCCAGCUGGAAAGUUAAAGACCGACGGUUUCCCGAUUUCAAUUUCUUCUCAGUUGAAAUCCUUAGCAGAAUAAGCUCAAAACUCUAAGCUGACGACCAACAAGAUAUAACCCAGCCACUCAAGGAGCAAUCUUGACAAAAAAA